UGUUUGAAAGUGCAAGGUGUCUUAAUGAGA
rnacentral:piRNA from 1 species